rnacentral:rRNA from 1 species
GAUCCUGGCUCAGAUUGAACGCUGGCGGCAUGCCUAACACAUGCAAGUCGAACGGCAGCAUGAUGUGUAGCAAUACACAUUGAUGGCGAGUGGCGGACGGGGGAGUAAUGCAUAGGAAUUUACCUUAUAGUGGGGGACAACUCGAGGAAACUCGAGCUAAUACCGCAUAAGCCCUUCGGGGGAAAGCGGGGGACCUUCGGGCCUCGCGCUAUAAGAUGAGCCUAUGUCAGAUUAGCUAGUUGGUAGGGUAAAGGCCUACCAAGGCGAUGAUCUGUAGCUGGUUUGAGAGGAUGACCAGCCACACUGGGACUGAGACACGGCCCAGACUCCUACGGGAGGCAGCAGUGGGGAAUAUUGGACAAUGGGGGAAACCCUGAUCCAGCAAUGCCGCGUGUGUGAAGAAGGCCUGAGGGUUGUAAAGCACUUUUAUAGAGGAGGAAAAGUUACGUGCUAAUAUCACGGAGGCGUGACGUUACUUACAGAAGAAGCACCGGCUAACUCUGUGCCAGCAGCCGCGGUAAUACAGAGGGUGCAAGCGUUAAUCGGAAUUACUGGGCGUAAAGGGCACGUAGGUGGAAAAUUAAGUCGGAUGUGAAAUUCCCGGGCUCAACCUGGGAACUGCAUUCAAAACUGUCAGGCUAGAGUAUGGUAGAGGAUAGUGGAAUUUCAGGUGUAGCGGUGAAAUGCGUAGAGAUCGGAAGGAACAUCAGUGGCGAAGGCGGCUAUCUGGACCAAUACUGACGCUGAGGCGCGAAAGCGUGGGGAGCAAACAGGAUUAGAUACCAUGGUAGUCCACGCCGUAAACGAUGAGAACUAGCCGUCGGGGGCCUUGUGCCUUUGGUGGCGCAGCUAACGCAAUAAGUUCUCCGCCUGGGGAGUACGGCCGCAAGGCUAAAACUCAAAGGAAUUGACGGGGGCCCGCACAAGCGGUGGAGCAUGUGGUUUAAUUCGAUGCAACGCGAAGAACCUUACCAGGUCUUGACAUCCCGAGAAUUUACUAGAGAUAGUUUAGUGCCUUCGGGAACUCGGUGACAGGUGCUGCAUGGCUGUCGUCAGCUCGUGUCGUGAGAUGUUGGGUAAAGUCCCGUAACGAGCGCAACCCUUGUCCUUAGUUGCCAGCACGUACGGCCGGGAACUCUAGGGAGACUGCCGGUGACAAACCGGAGGAAGGUGGGGAUGACGUCAAGUCCUCAUGGCCCUUAUGGGCAGGGCUACACACGUGCUACAAUGGCCAGUACAGAGGGUUGCCAACCCGCAAGGGGGAGCUAAUCCCACAAAGCUGGUCGUAGUCCGGAUCGGAGUCUGCAACUCGACUCCGUGAAGUCGGAAUCGCUAGUAAUCGCGGAUCAGAAUGCCGCGGUGAAUACGUUCCCGGGCCUUGUACACACCGCCCGUCACACCAUGGGAGUGGGCUGUACCAGAAGUAGGUAGUCUAACCUUCGGGGGGGCGCUUACCACGGUAUGGUUCAUGACUGGGGUGAAGUCGUAACAAGGUAGCC